GUGUAAUUUAAGAAUUAAUCAUCAAAGAUACAUACUUCAAAUUCUCAAUAUUGAGAAUAUGUGUCAUCAUCUCAUUAAUUCUUUAGACGAUUUAUGGAUACAUGUAUAGUAUAAAUGAAAUAAAUAACCUAAUUUUAUUAAUAAUAGAAAAAAAAAUUAUAUCUUAGAGCAAAAAUAUGUAUCAAUCUGAUUAGCCUUUAAGGC
rnacentral:lncRNA from 1 species